rnacentral:rRNA from 1 species
UACGUAGGGGGCUAGCGUUGUCCGGAAUCAUUGGGCGUAAAGCGCGUGUAGGCGGUCCGGUAAGUCCGCUGUGAAAGUCGGGGGCUCAACCCUCGGAUGCCGGUGGAUACUGUCGGGCUUGAGUACGGAAGAGGCGAGUGGAAUUCCUGGUGUAGCGGUGAAAUGCGCAGAUAUCAGGAAGAACACCAACGGCGAAGGCAGCUCGCUGGGACGGAACUGACGCUAAGGCGCGAAAGCGUGGGGAGCGAACAGG